rnacentral:rRNA from 1 species
UACGUAGGGGGCGAGCGUUGUCCGGAGUUACUGGGCGUAAAGCGCACGCAGGCGGUGCUGCGCGUUUGGGGUUACAGCUCCCGGCUCAACCGGGAGAGCGCCUCGAAGACGGCAGCACUUGAGGGCCAGAGAGGGACACGGAACUCCGGGUGGAGUGGUGGAAAUGCGUAGAUAUCCGGAAGAACACCAAAGGCGAAAGGCAGUGUCCUGGCUGGUACCUGACGCUCAGGUGCGAAAGCUAGGGGAGCGAACGGG